CAAGGAUACAACGGCAUAUUGAUACGCUUUUGCAAGGUGGAUAUCAUUACAUCAACAUUACAUAAUAGAUGGGGAUACAUACAAAAGGCCGCCACACGAAUACAACAACAUCUUACAUAAGAGCACCAUCCGACUACGGAUGAAACACAAACAGAAACUCAAACGACAUCCACCCUGCUAGCCCAGGCUACCGACCUGGAACCUAUCCCCUGAUCAAAGAAGAAGCAGAAGAAGAACUCCAAAACAAGAAAACAUCGCUCUCGCCUCAUGAUCAUCGCAUAACCUGUACCUGCAACUGUUGUUGUAGUAAUCUGUGAGCCACGAGGACUCAGCAAUCCCAUUACCAUGGGUAUCAAGACUAGCAAAGCUUAAUGGGAAAGGGAGUGGUAAAGUGGUGAGGUUGCAGCAGCGACUAAGCAUGAUAUGGUGGCUACCAUAUGCAAAUAAGAGCGAGAAGAGAAGCAACAGAACGGUCGUGAAGCUAGCAAUGAUCAAGAAGUGAUCCUGAACUCCUGCUUACGUCAAACAUAACCCAAAACCGUGUUCACUUCCCGGACUCCACCGAAAAGAGACCAUCACGGCUACACACGCGGUUGAUGCAUUUUAAUUCGGAUCUGGUGUCAAGUUAUCUACAACCGGACAUUAACAAAUUCCCAUCUGCCACAUAACCGCGGGCACGGCUCUCGAAAGUUUAUACCCUGCAGGGGUGUCCCAACUUAGCCCAUGAUAAGCUCUCGCAAUCAACGAAGGAUAUUCCUUCUCCCAGGAAGACCCGAUCAGUCUCGGAAUCCCGGUUUACAAGACAUUUCGGCAAUGGUAAAACAAAACCAGCAAAGCCGCCCGAUGCGCCGACAAUCCCGAUAGGAGCUGCACAUAUCUCGUUCUCAGGGCAACACCGGAUAAGUCAAGCUACGAGUAAAAACCCGACCUCGAGUUUCCCUGAGGGGGCCCCGCAGGCUGCUCGGUUCGGACCAGCACUUAGAGAAGCACUGGCCCGGGGGGGGGGGGCUAAAAUAAAGAUGACCCUCGAGAGAGCGACUCCCAAGGGAAAAGUAGGUGGUGGUGAGGCAAAUGGUAAAACCAAGGUUGGGCCUUGCUGGAGGAGUUUUAUUCAAAGCGAACUGUCAAGGGGGUCCCAUAAAUCACCCAACCGCGUAAGGAACACAAAAUCCGGGAACAUAAUACCGAUAUGACAGAAACUAGGACGGCAAGAGUGGAACAAAACACCAGGCAUAAGGCCGAGCCUUCCACCCUUUACCAAGUAUAUAGAUGCAUUAAUUAAAUAAGAGAUACUGUGAUAUCCCAACAUAAUCCUGUCCACCAUGGAGCAAUCUUCAACUUCACCUGCAACUAGCAACGCUAUAAGAGGGGCUGAGCAAAGCGGUAACAUAGCCAAGCAACGGUUUGCUAGGAAGGGUGAAAACGUUAGAGGCUGAUAUGGCAGUUUGGGAGGCUUGAUCAACAAGAGUUAGGUAGCGCGACAAAGCAAUAGAAAGAAGCAACUAGCAUAGCAAUGAUAGUAAUGAGAUCCAAGGCGACGGUCAUCUUGCCUGAAAUCCCGCAAGGAAGAAGAACGAGUACAUGAAGAAGAUGAAGCCACUAAGACAAACCAAGCGUAGACGAACGAACCCUCACAAUCGCAACAUUACCAGAACUUAGAAGCAACACCGGAAAGAAACAAACAACAUGGUAAAUGCACAAUCAUAAACAUGGCAUGACGCACAAACAAGCAUGAUGCAUGUUCGGUUUAAUGAGGCAUGGCAUGGCAAAGUGCAAUAAACAAUACUACAAGUUAAAUGAACCUCAAUAUGCAACGAGUUGCAUAUUGACGAAACACCACAUUCAACUAUUUAGUUAGCUCCCGUUUAGGUACCCAACAAUAUUAAAUGUUGACUAACAUGGCAAGAGGUGAAGCAUAAUAAAACUACAUAUCUAGGCAAGUUUAAAUGAGGCCGGAACAACAAACAACAAUUCCGGAAAAUCCCCAUGUGCAUAUCUAAAAUUUGGUACUGUUCUUCCUAAACCACAUUUUAGAGUUGUUAAACAGCAAAAGAAAGUGCACCAUGAUAAUCUAUGCAUCUCGUCCUCCUCGUUCUUUAUAGAGCAAGCACGCUUUGGUGGCGGCACCAGGCGAUGCAGGAAGUAGCAGCGGACAAGGGUGGCUCCAGGAACUCGACGGGGCGGCGAGGCUGUAGGGUUACUGGAGAGGAGAGACUGAGAACGAGAGGUGAGGCAACGAAGAGAGAGAAAGGAGAGGAAGGUGAAGGAGAUACAGGGAGGAAGAGGGGCUCGACGGGGCGACCUGGAUGCUCAACGACAUGAUCAAAUGGCCCGAUCCAGAGCUCCAUUGCAAAUUGAGGGGCUGAAGGUGUUCAUGGAAGCGGUGACCUUCAUGGAGAUGUUCCUGUUCGAGGAAAAGAACAGAAAAACAGAGAGCUUAGAGGGAGAUAGAGACAGGGGAAAACGGGACGAAGGAGAAGGAUGGGCAGAGGCACGACGACCUGUUGCUGCUAACCGGCGCGGGGUCGCGGGAAUGGAGGCAAGGCUGUGCGACGACGUCUGUGGCAGCUCCAUGAACUUGGUGGGGCGGCGGGUCAACGCGAGGUCGGCUUGGUCGCUGGCGGCGCGACGGACGAGGACGGCAUGGUCGAACAAGGCGAGGUUGGCUCGGGGUCUUGAGGAGCCGAGGACGAGCGCUCCUGCUCGGGGCCUUGGGCGGCUUCACGAUCCAUUUGGGAUCUAGGGGAGAAGAGGUAGGCUUCGGGCGCCUGGGCAAGAAGCAAAGGAGGAGCUCGGGAUCGAGGCUGCUGCGAUUUGGGCGGCGCGCAGAACAAGGGAGGUGGUCGGAGAUCUGGUGGGUGGAAUGGAUCAGGAGGGGGCUGCAGCUCUGGUUGGUCGGGGUGGACUGGAUCGGGAGGAUCCCGAGGACGAUGCGGGAGAGUGGCGGCGGCGGGUGAGGGAAUGAAUGGAUGGGACGACUAGUCUAGGGUUUGUCCGGUAUAUAUACCGAGUGGAUUUGGAUAGGGGUCCUUUGGGUCCCUCUGAUCGUAAUCGGAUGGCCCGGAAUAAAUAGGUUAGGAAGACCGAAAGAGAAACCGAAGAUGUUUUAUAGAUGUUAGGGGAUGAUUCGAAUCCAACGGAGAUGACUGAGCGGGUUAGGUUCGGGGCAAGUUUCGAACGCACGCGAGGGGUCUGAGAGAGGUCGACGAAGACAAAGGUCUGACAAUUGGACAGUUGGUCAACAGAGGCAAAGAGAGAAUCGGCAACUAUGGACGGUAACGGGUUUUAUGAAAACAUGCAGAUGCAAUGCGCAUGAUGCUAUGAGAUGAGAUGUAUGACAUGAACAAAAUGCAAAACAAAAGAAAAAACCCAACCACGAAGGAAAUAACAUAUCACAUAGCCGUAAAAGGCAAGAGUCGGAGUUACAAUUAUGGAAAGUUGUAUCUAGGGCGUUACAACACUCCACCACUACAAGAGGAUUUUGUCCCGAGAUCUAGGAUGGCACUGGAGGGAAAAGGAAGAGGAAUAUAAGAGGUAAACUAAGUUGCUUCUUCGACAAACGAGUGAAACCAUGAACCUUGAGAGGUUGAGCAAAAUGAAAGAAAUAAAACAACUAAGAUGAACAAAGUUGAAAACACUCCGUUAGAAAAGAGGAACAAGGGAUACAACGAGAACCAACAGGUUUAGUGAUAAGAUAGAUAUUGAAACCACUCCAGUUAAAACUAGAUAGAGAAGGAAUAAGAUUGAUAUAAUUUGGGCAGCACUCCGAGUGAAAGAAGAAGGAAAACUUGAUAAGAUGAAAAGCACUUGAAGAGAUGACACAACACUCCAGUUAAAUGGAUAAGCACGAAAAGAACACGAUCCUCACAAUUCGAGAUGAUGAAUGAAAAGAGCAACAUCACAAUGCCUUUGGAAGAAAUAAUAGAAGAUAGAUCAUUGGAAUAACAUAAUGGAGAAGAAAAUGCCAACUUCUGCCACAAAUGAGCUUGGAAAGCACCCUUCCAAGAAGGUUAUAACGGAGUUGUUGGAAAACCAACAACGAAACGAAUAAGCUUGUAGUGGACUUAUGGAAAACAUCUCAAGACUAUGAGGUGACAACUGGCCACUAAUGGAAACCAUUGAUUUGAUUGAGAGCACCGAAGAGAUGAAAAACUUCUUCACCGAGAUGAGAAGGAGAAAAUUGGAUCAUUGAUAAGCACCACAAUAGCAACAUUCCUUAGGGAAGGCUUUAGGUGAAAUCUAUACCAAGAUAACUCCAGAGAAGAGAUUGAUGGAUUUAAAAUACCUCAUUCUUGACAACAUGUGAAUCACGAAACAUGAAUGGAAAUUGUCAAGAAUGAUAUAACACCACCUCAAAAGAUAAGGUAGAAAGAAUUGCACUUCGAAAAUGCAAGAAGAAGAAUACUUGAACACCUCAAAACAAAACAUGUGUUGAGCACCAUGUUUAAUUUUGAGUAUAGCUUGGCGGAUCAUGACUCCGAGAGAAAAACUAGGAAGAACAAUUGAAGAAUGAAAUGAAUCCUUGAUGAACCACCAUGUAGAGCCUCCAGUAAACAAAAGGAUGAAAAGAAUAUGAUUCAAGCCUUGAAAUGAUUUAGAUGGAUCUUCGCGACGAGAUAAUGCGGAAAAAACUUGGAACUCCGGAAAAGAAAAGAUGAAGCAUCUCGACCGAGAAAUGUGACAUGACGAACAACUCUGGAAAGAAGAAACUAGAUCACUUGGAUGAAACUGUAAUAAGAAUUACGAUAUGCGUAUCCUUCACCAAUUUAAAUUGAUGACAAACAACGGAUUUGGCAUACUACUUAUUCUCAUAGAAAUGAUUAAAAGUGAUAUAGCACAAACUUGAGAAGGUAUUGAUGGGACCACCGGUGGGAUUGGAAACAACGAAUGAAAUGAUACGGUAGCAAAGGAAGAGGAAUCUUGAACGAACCACCGUAAGAACUGAAAAUGAAAGUAGCAAAGGCACAAUUCACCGGGAAGAAUUGGAAAACGAAUGAAGAUAUUUGAGGGGAUUUACAUACAUGAGAACGAAGAGGCCAUGAACUGAUUAGAUGAUGUUUGAACAAUGCACCGAGAGAAUUCAAGAACGAGAGUUGAAAGCUGAGAAUGAAAAAUUAUGACCUGAUGGCCUUUGGAGGAAAGAAAUGGAAACAACUCAUGAAAUGCUCCAGAUGGUAAGAAAAGAAUUGUCACAAUCGAAAACACUUAUGAGAGGAUGGCAUCAAGCUUGAACUAUGCAUCUUUGGAAGAAAGGGUAAGGAUUUAAGAGGAACUCUUCUUCGGUCUUCAAAAUCCGAGAAUGACGAGGAGAAACACCACCAUGAAUUGUUGAGACACUCCGAAAGGAUUAAAAGAAAAAGGUUGAGCCAAAGAUGAAAAGAAUUUGAAAGCGAUCUUGGACAAGGCAUAUGACUAAUGAAAUUCAUACUUACGCCAAACUUCAAAAAGGAUUUGAGAAUAACUCCAGAAUACUUAGAAGAGUCAGGUAAGAUCCUGGGAAAAGACCUGCGGGUUAGGGCCCACUAAAAGGAAACACCAUUGGAAAAGGUUACUUGAAAAAGAGAUUGUACCGGUUGAAUUAAAUGGCUUGAAUGAGAUAACAACCUCGAAAUAUCUUGAACGGAUUGAGAAUGGAAACAGAAGUCUUGUGAGAUAUCUUCAGCACUCCAGAACAAAUGAAUAGGAAGAAGUGAAUGGUUAAUAGGUGCAUCGGCAUGAGAAAGCAUUAGAAACGAGGAAAGGAAUAUGAUGAAUAUCGAAAGCUUGAAUUGGAUCCACCGGAGAAGAAACAACAAUGAAGGAUGAUGAACUUGAAACUGUUGAGCAUCUUCAUGGGAAAUCACCGGAUAAGAACAUUGAAAGAAAAGAAUGAAGAGACUUCACAUCCAUAAGAUGGAUACUUGAUUAAGAUAUCUGAGUCCUUGAAGAAAAGGGUGGGAGGGCGGGAAAACAAAGGCAACUUAGGGAAGAUGGAACAAACACCGGUGAGAAAACUUAGAGUUGAUCUUGCAGAUGUUGAAAAUGAUCGGAUCCACUUGAAGAGAAGCACACCGGAUGGAAAAGAGUUGACAUGACAACCUCAGUGAUCAAGAAGGAUUAGUACUCCCAUAGAAAUAUGAGAACACCGUUUAGAAAAGGUAUGGAAUCAACACUUGACAUUGAAGCAACUCGAAUACCACAAAUAAAACAAAACAAAGGAUUUGGCUUGCAGAAUAAGCCGGAACAAACAUAUGAUAGAGAUUUGGUCCGAAGUUUUUGUGGUGGGGCCCACACGGGCUUGAUCGUACAACACCAUCAUGUACAAGGCAGUGCACAUGACAUACGAAGUGUCCCCGAACCAGCACAUCCAAGGUCUCUUUAAGACACAACGAGACCACUGUAAAAACGACCGUGGAUAGGCGGACCACUAGACGUCGAACCCCAAUCUCAUAUCAUGCAUCUGUUAGAAAGAUAUUCUAGGAGCUACUUGAAUUCCCACCUAUAAAACUCCCGAAACUUUUUGGUUAUGCAAUCUGGUGUCGGGGAUACAGGGAAAGCAAUAUAUCUCACCCAAACUAACAAUCCCUACAUCCAGCUGUAUCCAUACGUCAACACAUAACCAAGAAAACUCCGAAAAAUCGUGUACCUCAACCUUCGAAAAGAAUCUAUUAUACGAGCUAUGGCAAUACUCCCGAACUCCCCAGUACUGGAUGGCGUCGAGGUUAUCUCACCAACAACUGCAUAAAAGAGAUUUUCGAUGUCGGCAAAACUCAGGUAUUCCAGAAUUGCAAUGAUAAAAUUAUGACGACAACACCUCGGAGCUCAACUCGCCGGGACACUGCCACAACCCCUAAAUGUCAGGAGGCACCAAGAACAAUGUUCUCGUCAUAAGAAUAUCGGAACGAUCCCAAGAUACCCAAUUGAACCUAAAAAAAUUUGUGAAAAUUUGAGGAGAGGAAAGACAAAACAUCUACGUCGAGAGUCCUCACUAGAGCCAUGAAGGGGGCUGAGGAGUAAAAAGAAUCCUACUCUCCGAUAUAUAUAAUCCUAAGACUCAAAAUAGUUUUCUUCUAGACUCAACAACGGCCAACAAUCAAGGGGCUCCUAUGGUCAGUCGAGGCUCUGAUACCAACUUAUCACGCCCAAUAUACGAUACUAUCCUAAAGAGACUCGAAGGUCCCACCAAGGAUAGAACCGCAUAUUGAUACACUUUUGCAAGGUGGAUAUCAUUACAUCAACAUUACAUAAUAGAUGGGGAUACAUACAAAAGGCAUACAAUGCCACACGAAUACAACAACAUCUUACAUAAGAGCACCAUCCGACUACGGAUGAAACACAAACAGAAACUCAAAUGACAUCCACCCUGCUAGCCCAGGCUGCCGACCUGGAACCUAUCCCCUGAUCGAAGAAGAAGCAGAAGAAGAACUCCAAAACAAGCAAACAUCGCUCUCGCGUCAUGAUCAUCGCAUAACCUGUACCUGCAACUAUUGUUGUAGUAAUCUGUGAGCCAUGAGGACUCAGCAAUCCCAUUAGCAUGAGUAUCAAGACUAGCAAAGCUUAAUGGGAAAGGAAGGGGUAAAGUGGUGAGGUUGCAGCACCAACUAAGCAUGAUAUGGUGGCUACCAUACGCAAAUAAGAGCGAGAAGAGAAGCAACGGAACAGUCGUGAAGCUAGCAAUGAUCAAGAAGUGAUCCUGAACUCCUGCUUAUGCCAAACAUAACCCAAAACCGUGUUCACUUCCCGGACUCCACCGAAAAGAGACCAUCACGGCUACACAUGCGGUUGAUGCAUUUUAAUUCGGAUCUGGUGUCAAGUUAUCUACAACCGGACAUUAACAAAUUCCCAUCUGCCACAUAACCGCGGGCAUGGCUCUCGAAAGUUUAUACCCUGCAGGGGUGUCCCAACUUAGCCCAUGAUAAGCUCUCGCGAUCAACGAAGGAUAUUCCUUCGCCCAGGAAGACCCGAUCAGUCUCGGAAUCCCGGUUUACAAGACAUUUGGACAAUGGUAAAACAAAACCAGCAAAGCCGCCCGAUGCGCCGACAAUCCCGAUAGGAGUUGCACGUAUCUCGUUCUCAGGGCAACACCAGAUAAGUCAAGCUACGAGUAAAAACCAGACCUCGAGUUUCCCCGAGGGGGCCCCGCAGGCUGCUCGGUUCGGACCAACACUUAGAGAAGCACGGGCCCGGGGGGGGGGGCUAAAAUAAAGAUGACCCUCGAGAGAGCGACUCCCAAGGGAAAAGUAGGUGGUGGUGAGGCAAAUGGUAAAACCAAGGUUGGGCCUUGCUGGAGGAGUUUUAUUCAAAGUGAACUAUCAAGGGGGUCCCAUAAAUCACCCAACCGCGUAAGGAACGCAAAUCCGGGAACAUAAUACCGAUAUGACGGAAACUAGGACGACAAAAGUGGAACAAAACACCAGGCAUAAGGCCGAGCCUUCCACCCUUUACCAAGUAUAUAGAUGCAUUAAUUAAAUAAGAGAUAUUGUGAUAUCCCAACAUAAUCCUAUCCACCAUGGAGCAAUCUUCAACUUCACCUGCAACUAGCAACGCUAUAAGAGGGGCUGAGCAAAGCGGUAACAUAGCCAAGCAACGGUUUGCUAUGAAGGGUGAAAAGGUUAGAGGCUGACAUGGCAGUUUGGGAGGCUUGAUCAACAAGAGAUAGGUAGCGCGACAAACCAAUAGAACGAAGCAACUAGCAUAGCAACGAUAGUAAUGAGAUCCAAGGCGACGGUCAUCUUGCCUGAAAUCCCGCAAGGAAGAAGAACGACUCCAUGAAGAAGAUGAAGCCACGAAGACAAACCAAGCGUAGACGAACGAACCCUCACAAUCGCAACAUUACCGGAACUAAGAAGCAACACCGGAAAGAAACAAACAACAUGGUAAAUGCACAAUCAUAAACAUGGCAUGAUACACAAACAAGCAUGAUGCAUGUCCGGUUUAAUGAGGCAUGGCAUGGCAUAGUGCAACAAACAAUACUACAAGUUAAAUGGAGCUCAAUAUGCAACGAGUUACAUAUUGACGAAACACCACAUUCAACUAUUUAGUUAGCUCCCGUUUAGGUACCCAACAAUAUUAAAUGUUGAUUAACAUGGCAAGAGGUGAAGCAUAAUAAAACUACGUAUCUAGGCAAGUUUAAAUGAGGCUGGAACAACAAACAACAAUUACGGAAAAUCCCCAUGUGCAUAUCUCAAAUUUGGUACUGUUCUGCCUAAACCACAUUUUAGAGUUGUUAAACAGGAAAAGAAAGUACACCAUGAUAAUCUAUGCAUUUUUCCACCCCAUUUACAUAUAAAGUUUAUUAAAUUCGGAGCUGUGGUUAAUUAGUUAUGAAAUAAAUCAUUUUGACAUGGCAUUUGAGCAAAUUUAAUCCAACAACAAUUUCAACAUUUUAAACAUGGAUGAAAGUGGCAUAUUAUUAGUCUACACAAAAUUCUAAGCAUUUUACGUGUUUAAGUCAUUUUAAUCCGAUGCACGGUUGAUGAGUUAUUAAAUGCAUGAACUCUAGGGACUUUUCUGUAAUAUGCAUGUCCAGGAUUUAAUUGUUAAAACCGUAGCACAGAAAUAAAAAAGGAAAAUGGGCCGAACACCGCACACUAAGCAAGCCCAGCAGCAGUUCCGGUCCAACGUGGCUGUGUGCGUGUGUGCAAAGUAAAGGCCCAACGUGGCUGUGUGCGUGUGUGCAAAGUAAAAAGAAAUAGGAAAACAAAUUAGAGGCGGCUGGGAAUCGAACGCAGGUCCUCCUGGAGGUGUGCACAAGGGAAGAAACACUGGGCUAGUUGAUCUGCUAGUGCUAGAACAUGGUGGCAAAUCUAAAUAUCCUCUAAGCGCCAGAACGGAUCUAGGAAAGAACAGCGAAGUUUCAGAUAUGAGGGAAGUUGCUCACAGCGGGGAAACCA
rnacentral:lncRNA from 1 species